UAGGGAAGUCUUCCACAAUGGACGCAAGUCUGAUGGAGCACGCCGCGUGAGUGAAGAAGGUCUUCGGAUCGUAAAACUCUGUUGUUAGAGAAGAACACGAGUGAGAGUAACUGUUCAUUCGAUGACGGUAUCUAACCAGCAAGUCACGGCUAACUACGUGCCAG
rnacentral:rRNA from 1 species